rnacentral:rRNA from 1 species
UACGUAGGGGGCAAGCGUUAUCCGGAAUUACUGGGUGUAAAGGGUGAGUAGGCGGCAUGGUAAGCCAGAUGUGAAAGCCUUGGGCUUAACCCGAGGAUUGCAUUUGGAACUAUCAAGCUAGAGUACAGGAGAGGAAAGCGGAAUUCCUAGUGUAGCGGUGAAAUGCGUAGAUAUCAGGAGGAACACCGGCGGCGAAGGCGGCUUACUGGACUGUAACUGACGUUGAGGCUCGAAGGCGUGGGGAGCAAAAAGG